UACGUAGGGGGCAAGCGUUGUUCGGAUUUAUUGGGCGUAAAGAGCGUGUAGGCGGUUAGGUAGGUCCGUUGUGAAAACUCGAGGCUCAACCUCGAGACGCCGAUGGAAACCAUCUGACUAGAGUCCGGAAGAGGAGAGUGGAAUUCCUGGUGUAGCGGUGAAAUGCGCAGAUAUCAGGAAGAACACCCGUGGCUAAGGCGGCUCUCUAGUACGUGACUGACGCUGAGACGCGAAAGCGUGGGGAGCAAACAGG
rnacentral:rRNA from 1 species